rnacentral:rRNA from 1 species
GGUAUUUUGACUAUACGAAGGUAUUGAAAUAAGAUUUUAAAUGAGUGCUAAGAGAAUGAUUAAACAAUUAAAAGCUUUCUUUAAUUGAAUAAUUGAAUUUAAUUUUUUAGUGCAAAAGCAAAAAUAAAAAUUAGGGACAAGAAGACCCUAUGAAUUUUUUAUUAAAUUUUAUAAAACUUUAUAUAAAAUUUAAUUUAAUUGGGGUGAUGGAAAAAGAAUAAAUAUCUUUUUUUUUAAAAAAAUUGGUUCCGUUUUUAGCGAUUAAAUGAAAAAAAUACUCUAGGGAUAACAGCGUAAUAAUUUUGGAUAGUUCAUAUAGAUAAAAUAGUUUGCGACCUCGAUGUUGGAUUAGGAUUCUUUUUUGGUGAAGAAGU